rnacentral:lncRNA from 1 species
UAUUAAUAAUUAAUAAUAAAUAAUAAUAAUUAUUAAUUAUUAAUAAUUAAUUAUAAAUAAUAAAUUAAUAAUAAUAUCGAUUGUCAUUAAGAAUAAUAAUUAUAAUAAUUAUUAAUAAAAAAAUAAUGAAUAUUAUUAAUUAUUUAUAAUUAAUUAUAAAUAAUAAAUUAAUAAUAAUAAUUAUCUAAUUAUUAAUAUUUAAUUAUAAAUAAUAAAUUAUUUAAAUUAUUUAAUUAUUAAAGUAAUAAAUAAUGAUUUAAAUAUUUUAAUUAGAUUAAUUAAUAAUUUACUGUCAUUAAAUUAAAUUUAAAUUUUAAUUAAUCUUGUUCUCAUCAAGGAACAAGCUUAUUCCAGGAAACGGGUGGAACAGUAGUUCCAGCCUUAUACCAACUAGUUCCAGAUUCCCAGGAACUACUAUUCCCGGGAACCAAACAUUGCGUUUGGGAACAAAGGGGGGAAUAAGCCCUUAUUC